GACUCCAUAGUGUAGUGGUUAGCCCAUCUGCUUUAUAUGCACAAGGUCCUGGGUUCGCGCCCAAGGAGGAGUCA
rnacentral:tRNA from 1 species